CUGUCUCUUUCUUGUUUUUCCGGAUGAUAUGCAUAUGAUGCCAAUAUUCUAACAGAGCCAGUAUGCUCUUGAGUUCAUUUCACAAAUACAUUUGUAUUUAUCUUUCCUCUUCCUUCACCCUUGCACAAUACUAAUGGAUAUUGCCAUGUAUAAAUCAACAUAGCAAUAAAUCUGUCAGCAGUUGCAACAUGCAAAUACACACAGUGAACCAGCUGUGCUUCAUCUUAAUUUUUUUUUUCUCAAUCAAAUAUCAAUUACAUUGUUAUUUACUCCCAAUAAUCAAACCAACCAGUGAACCAGGCAGCCAUGCAUAUUAAUUUAGUAAAAGAAUAGACAUGUAAUUGCUAUUACAAAAUACAAGCAUUGAACAACUGACAACUCAGUACUCACCUUCACCGGCACGAGAGCAACGACGGAGAGAGGCUGCAACGGCCGGCGAGAUGAAUGAGGUGACGACUGACCAGCAGCGGCUGGCGAAGAUGAGGCAGUAAACGAGCGGCGGCUGACAGUGGUGGAUCCUUAAAAUUUUGUUUGACGAUGAAUCCCCCCAUCCUUGCCCAGCGGAUAUACGAUUAGCCAAUUAUUUACCUGUAAUUGCCGAAUUGACCAAACCGAUUGGGUUCAUUGAGAAAUAGUAUCUAGUGAUGGGGCAUUAGCGAUAUUUAUAGAAAAUUGGAGGAGUGGUUUUGUCAAAUUCCACAAAAG
rnacentral:lncRNA from 1 species